AGACACUGAUAAUAUUGUCUUCAAAACAGGCAAGAACAACAUCUUGACUGUCAACUUACAAGACACCAAACAAACUAGGAAACUGCAUCACUUCAAAACUCUAACACGACGUUUAAACUGUUUGCUCAGCUUGUAAGACUUAAAUCACAUUUACAGUGUGAUGCCCAAGGGAGGAUUCCUGUUUCACUAUAUGGCCUGAGUGCAGUCUUCUCACACUAUGUUCCAAUAAAAAAUUAAAGUUAUAUUGAACCAACCUAUUUCUGGAAUGAUAUUGAGUAGGCGCCAGUGUUCGGAUCUUUAACAGCUUUGAAGUUGUCAGUGCUCAUCCCAAAACGGCCCAG
rnacentral:lncRNA from 1 species